AGGAGAUAUGUUUUCGACCUCUCUCAUGUGAUUGACUUCACUCCACUCGAGAUCGGCGAGGAUCUGAGAUACGAGGAGCGACCGUUGCGGAUUCUGUUAAGGAUUUUGUAUUAGCAAGUUUCGUGAAGUGAGUCGGAGUCUUGAAGAACCGGUACAUAUCGUCGAAGAUCGAAGAAUUCAAGAUUUCGAAGAAGUUGGAAAAUAACUCACGAUAUGAAUCACGAUGCUCAGGUAAAGUUUUAAAUUCAUGUUAUGGUGAUUCAUACUUAGUUAUAGG
rnacentral:lncRNA from 1 species